ensembl:miRNA Mir6928 microRNA 6928
UUCCAAGGGGAUUUGCAUGGACUGCACUGAGAAACCUCAGUGUUCCUAAAGCUGUUCCUGUACUCUCCAG